AUGGGGGAGAGGUAGGGGGAAGGGGGAGAAGGAGAGGGUGUUCUUGUGAGAUGGACAGGUUGGGUGUGGGUUCGGAUUCGGGUUUGGAUUAAAGAUGUAUUGGAUUCAAAAUAAAUGUAUUUAGUAUAAAAUUAUUGGUUUGUAAAAAUAGUAUAGUUUAAAAUAAUUGCCACUAAAGUACAAUAAGAUAAUAAAUAAUAAUGGUCGUUUGAUAAUCGUCGUUAUUAAAUUGCCAUUAAAAUUCAAUUUUGCUGUAGUGGCGCGCAAUGACAUGAAAUAGUUUCAUAAUAAGUUUUAAUUAAUAAUUAUUUUGUUUUAAAAAAUAGUUUAAUAAUUAAUUUAAUAUAAAUAAAAUAAUUUAAAUUGGUAUAUGUGGGACAUAAAUUUUUGUAAGAACAUAUUAAUUAGUAAUCAAAUUAUUUUAUACAAACAUAUGUAAAAAAAAUUAGAGAAAAAAUAUAAAAAUAAUUUAAAAAAUUUUAAAUAAAUUAAAAUUCUUGUAAAUUUAAUAGAUAUAUUAAAUUUUUU
rnacentral:lncRNA from 1 species